GCGAGGAUGGCGGAACUGGUAGACGCGCUAGGUUGAGGGCCUAGUGGAGUUUUUCUCCAUGGGGGUUCAAGUCCCCCUCCUCGCACCA
rnacentral:tRNA from 1 species